GAUCAUGGCUCAGGAUGAACGCUGGCGGCGUGCUUAACACAUGCAAGUCGAACGAAGCACUUAAGAUUGAUUCUUCGGAUGAUUUCUUUUGUGACUUAGUGGCGGACGGGUGAGUAACGCGUGGGUAACCUGCCUCACACAGGGGGGAUAACAGUUAGAAAUGACUGCUAAUACCGCAUAACCCGAUAGGAUCGCAUGAUCCGGACGGAAAAGAUUUAUCGGUGUGAGAUGGACCCGCG
rnacentral:rRNA from 1 species